UGUAACCCUAAAAAUCUACCUCCUGUCCUCACUCCUCAGCCGACAUCACUCACUAAAUUUCUAACCCUAAUUUCUCUCUCACUCUCUCUGUCUCUCACUCUCUCACUCUCUUUCUUCGUCGCCGCUACAACUCGCCGGUCUUCUGAGUUCCGCCGCAACAACUCGCCACGAGUACUAUUAGCAACAACAGUCCGAAUUUCUUCAACUGGUGGAAGCCGAACAAAUCACAGAAAUUCAAUCGAGAAAUUUCGUCUUCGUCUUCGUUGGUCUUCUACUCUUCUUCGUCUUCUUCAACAUUCAGCUUAAUAUGGCUGAUGAAGACUUCAAGGAGCAGAUUGAGCUUGGUACUUAGUAGUUUGUAAUAUUUGGUUUGUAAUAUUUUUAAGUAUGAACUUGGUACUUAGUAGUUAGUAUUAUAUAUGUUAUUGCCAAGUAUGAACUUGGUUGGCUAAGUUUAUUGAAAUUUCAUUGAAUUA